rnacentral:lncRNA from 1 species
AUGCACACACUCAUACCAUGUGCAUAUACACCAAUAUGCACACAUACAACAUGCACACACACCAACAUGCACUCACACCAACAUGCACACACACCAACAUGCACAAUACACCAACAUGUGCACACACCAACAUGAACACACACCAUGCACACAUACACCAACAUGCACACACCAACAUGCACACACACCCACAUGCACACACACCAACAUGUACACUCACACCAACAUGCACACACACCACUGUGCACCCAUACCAACAUGCACACACACACCAAAAUGCACACACACCAACAUGCACAAACAUGCACACAUACACCAACAUGCACACUCACAUCAACAUGCACACUCACACCAACAUGCACACACCCUUACACCAAUAUGCACACAUACACCAACAUGCACACUCACACCAACAUGCACACUCACACCAACAUGCACACACCCUUACACCAACAUGCACACUCACGCCAACAUGCACACUCAUACCAUGCGCAUAUACACCAAUAUGCACACAUACAACAUGCACACACCAACAUGCACACAUACAACAUGCACACACCAACAUGCACACAUACAACAUGCAUACACACCAAUGCACACUCACACCAACAUGCACACUCACACCAACAUGCACACACACCAACAUGCACAUACACCUACACACAUACACCAACAUGCACACUCACACCAACAUUCACACACAUGCACACACACCAACAUGCACACACAACAUGCACACUCACACCAACAUGCACACACACCAACAUGCACACACAUGCACACUCACACCAACAUGCACACACACCAACAUGCACACAUACACCAACAUGCACACUCACACCAACAUGCACACAUACACCAUACACACCAAUAUGCACACACUCAAAACACACCAAUAUGCACACAUACCAACAGGCACACACACACCAACAUGCACACAUACACACCAAUAUGCACACACUUAUACCAACAUGCAUACACACACC